rnacentral:rRNA from 1 species
CGUGGGUAACCUGCCCAAGAGACUGGGAUAACACCUGGAAACAGAUGCUAAUACCGGAUAACAACACUAGACGCAUGUCUAGAGUUUAAAAGAUGGUUCUGCUAUCACUCUUGGAUGGACCUGCGGUGCAUUAGCUAGUUGGUAAGGUAACGGCUUACCAAGGCAAUGAUGCAUAGCCGAGUUGAGAGACUGAUCGGCCACAUUGGGACUGAGACACGGUCCAAACUCCUACGGGAGGCAGCAGAA